AAAAAGGGAUUUUAAAGAAUGUAUCUUGCUAAGUGUUUAUAGUAAAGUACUAGGUUCUAAUGUUAUUUCAUUAUUUCUCGUGUUAUUUUAUCUAUUUUUAUUUUGCUUAAUUUUGUUUCUGUUUUGUUGACUGGUUUUUGUUUCUCUCUUGUGGUUGAGACUGGCCUCAGACUUGCUGUGUGGCUGAGGAUGACAUAGACUUGGUGAUCCUUGUCUCUUCCCUACUGAGUAGAAGGAUUUCAGGCAUGCUACCACGCCUGACUAUUUUGUCUUAGUCUAUUUCCAGCUUAAGAUUUUCUGUUUUUAAGACAGGGUUGUAAUAUGGAGUCCAGGCUAAUGUGGAACUUACUGACCCUACUGCUUCAACAUCCUGAUCAUGUUUUGUUUUGUUUUUUUUAGACAGAGUUUCUCUAUGUAACCCUGGCUGUCCUUGACCUUACCGCCUGGCUUUGAGCAUUUGUCACAAGCUUAAGUUUUGAAUUCUUUUUCUGUUUUUUCUUUUACUUUUCAAGUCAGGGAUUCACUGUGCAGACUAGACUAUUUUGAAUUUACAGAGUUAGAUUAAAGGUGUGCUUUAUUUUUGAACAUAAAAGUGUUUAGAAAUGAAAUCUUAAAAAUGAUACGCUCAGAAAAGCCUGAUUGGUAAGAGAGAUCUUAAUAGUUUAUUUGUAUGAUUUAGUCAUUUCACAGUGUAUACAUACAUAUUUAACGUGUACAGUGUAAAUACUUCCUUCUGUCUGUCUGUCCGUCCGUCCUUUCUGCUUUUUGGAGAAAGGGUUUUUCUGUAGCCCUGGCUGUCCUAAAACUUGCUCUGUAGACCAGGCUGGCUUUGUACUUCCACAUAUCUGCUUGCCUCUGCCUCCCAAAUGCUGGGACUAAAGGUAUAUGCAACCACCACUGGGCUAUUUUUAUCUUUUUAAAUCAACUAUACCUUAGUAAAGCUAGGGAGAGAGGUCCUAAGCAUCUAUCUAUCUAUCUAUCUAUCUAUCUAUCUAUCUAUCUAUCUAUCUAUCUAUCUAUCAAUAAAAAAGUAUUUUCACUAAUUUCCACUGUCCCCACCCCACCCCUUUGGUUUUUUUUUUUUUUAAAGAUUUAUUUACU
rnacentral:lncRNA from 1 species